AGAGUUUGAUCCUGGCUCAGGAUGAACGCUGGCGGCGUGCUUAACACAUGCAAGUCGAACGAGAAGCUUACUUCGGUAAGUGGAGAGUGGCGCACGGGUGCGUAACACGUAGCUCACCUGCCCUCAAGACGGGAAUAACGGUUGGAAACAGCCGCUAAUACCCGAUAAGCUCCCGCGUUGUAGAAACGUGCGAGAAAAGGCUACGGCGCUUGAGGAUGGGGCUGCGGUCCAUCAGCUAGAUGGUGAGGUAACGGCUCACCAUGGCAACGACGGAUAGGGGACCUGAGAGGGUGACCCCCCACACUGGCACUGAGACACGGGCCAGACUCCUACGGGAGGCAGCAGUGAGGAAUAUUGCACAAUGGGCGCAAGCCUGAUGCAGCGACGCCGCGUGGGCGAUGAAGGUCUUCGGAUCGUAAAGCCCUUUUCUGCGUGACGAGAACGGACGGUAGCGCAGGAAUAAGUCUCGGCUAACUACGUGCCAGCAGCCGCGGUAAAACGUAGGAGGCGAGCGUUAUCCGGAGUUACUGGGCGUAAAGCGCGUGUAGGCGGCACAGAGGGUCUGAUGUGAAAGCUCCCAGGCUAAACCGGGAGAGGUCAUUGGAAACCGCUGUGCUAGAGGGUGAUAGAGGGGCGUGGAAUUCCGGGUGUAGUGGUGAAA
rnacentral:rRNA from 1 species